AACGGAUAUCUCGGCUCUCGUAACGAUAAUGAAUGUAGCAAAUGCGAUAUUUGGUAUGAAUUGCAGAAUCUCAUUAGCCAUCAACUAUUUGAAUGCAAGUUGAGCUCGAAGCCGCUGCGGCUGAGGGCACGCCUGCCUGGGCGUCGUUA
rnacentral:rRNA from 1 species